UACGUAGGGCGCAAGCGUUAUCCGGAAUUAUUGGGCGUAAAGAGCUCGUAGGCGGUUUGUCGCGUCUGCCGUGAAAGUCCGGGGCUCAACUCCGGAUCUGCGGUGGGUACGGGCAGACUAGAGUGAUGUAGGGGAGACUGGAAUUCCUGGUGUAGCGGUGAAAUGCGUAGAUAUCGGGAGGAACACCUGAGGCGAAGGCGGGCUACUGGGCUGAUACUGACGCUGAUGCGCGAAAGCCAGGGGAGCGAACGGG
rnacentral:rRNA from 1 species